CGUACAAAGCAAAGCCCACUCGCAAUACUAUAUCCGGGGACUAUAUACACUACAUUCAAGUGUUAUUAUAUAAGCUGCGGAGAUGUUUGGCAAAAUAAUAGCGGGUUAUUUGGAUAGCCCAUAAUCUGUAUUUUUAUUCCUUGCAUUUUGGAACUUGUUACCUGUUUCGUCGCUGCUUUUAACUCUCAGUUUGCGAGGCCGGCCCCGCGGCAUAGUUCCAGUACUCAGGGCGGGUGUGCUGUGAACGAUUUGCUUUUCAAAAUGGCGACUCGGUCAUCUGCAGACAGUAGAGCCCCCAUGAAGACACACACAGCGUAGCGGCGCGGACAAGGGAGACACCUACCGUCUGGUUCGCUGUACCUGCAGCUUCAGGUGUGGCCGAGUCUCCCCCUGUGCUGUCAGAGAGCACUGUCCGGAUCCAUGAAACCAAUCAUUCUUUGGCAUCAUGGAAACAGCAUCUGACAGCCACGGUCACCAUGGGCGUCCUCCCCUGUGACCAUCCUCAACAGGGGACCAGGGAGGGUGUCCCCUGUCUACACCUGAAGUCAGCUGGGAUAGACUCCAACCACCUCGCGACCCUAAUGAGGAUUAAGUGGUGCAUAUAUAAUAGAUGGAUGUUUGUGUGUGCAAAUAAUGACCUUUCUGUAUCAACCUCAUUAUUAAACAAGUACUCUUAGAAGCACUUACAGUGUAAUUCAUAUCCAGGUCCCUCCAAAAUUGUUCCAAUAAGUAUUUUCUUGAUACUCUGUGCAUACUCUAUAAUUGCACUGUCACCUGAAUUGUAGUCACCAAAUGAUGGUAUCGUCAGUUACUCCUAAUUAUGAUUUGAAGUUUUUCUGAUUGAUAUAACACCCUGUCCUGUGAUGAUCUGU